UACGAAGGGGGCUAGCGUUGUUCGGAAUCACUGGGCGUAAAGCGCACGUAGGCGGAUGUGCCAGUCAGGGGUGAAAUCCCGGAGCUCAACUUCGGAACUGCCUCUGAUACAGCACGUCUUGAGUCCGGAAGAGGUGGGUGGAAUUCCUAGUGUAGAGGUGGAAUUCGUAGAUAUUAGGAAGAACACCAGUGGCGAAGGCGGCUCACUGGUCCGGUACUGACGCUGAGGUGCGAAAGCGUGGGGAGCAAACAGG
rnacentral:rRNA from 1 species